ensembl:lncRNA
GUGCUAGCAAAUAGGAGUGCAAGGUGCAGACACUUGUGGUAUAAUCUUGUUAUGUCUGUGUCUAGAUGCAGUUUAGGUUCCUGUAUGUUGUAUGAAUGAGAAAAUCUUGAUCUAUCAGUCAUGCUUUGGACAUCAGUUACUGCUGUGUCUUCAAAGAUAAGGCAUCUACACACAGACAAGGCUUCUUCAAAGAGCUUGAAUGUCUACAACAUGCUGCUUGGACUCUGGAAUCAAGUCCUUCCUUCAAGAGAAUUUUUUGCAGGAAGUUCAGAAGUGUUUGAACAGUAUCUGAAUGCUUGCUGAGAGCUUACCUAAAGGAAAGAAACUGGCAACUGAACUCCUGGAAAAAGCUGUCUUAGAGUCUUUGGAGAAAAUCUGUUUUUGUAAUGGCAACACCUGGCCGGAAUUACUUUCCUUUGGAGAAAAUGGUGCUGUUUUUCUCUCAUUGGCAGGUAAACACUGUUCACUUGUUGAACUUUAAUAUCUUCCAAGCAAGGUGACAGAUAUUUAAAUGAUAUGAGCUUGUGAUAAGCUGCCAUUGGCUGGUGAUACCUAAAGUGGUUUCUAAGAGUCAGUUGUGUAUUAGUUUGCAGCCAAGUGACUUCUCUAUGUGUAUAUAUGUCUAUAUGAUAUUUUGUUCUGUCAGACCCGUCGCCUGUUGUGUAGCUGUGUUUGUGAGAUGGUGAAGCAAUGCUCUCUCUUUAUCACCAGUUCAUUGAGCACAAGCUCAGCCCUGCACUAACAUGGCUGCGCAGCCCCCCCAGCAGCUCACAGACAAACUGAACUCAGGCUUUUUUAGAGCUAAGCCAGACAGCACUUGCAUGUGCCUGCAAAACCCCACAUAGGAUUUAACCUUCAUUAUGUCAAGGGGGCCUUUGAAUAUUCAUUUCCUUUCAGAAAUAAUGGUUCUGAAAGUUCCCAGCACUGGCUAUGUGGUAGCACUUUGCUCUCGCUCCUCUCACCUAUGAGGAUGAAGGUCAGAAUCAAGUGGAUGAGUUGAUUGUAGCACAAUGUAAUGUCUGCUGGCCCAUUUUUACCCUUAGAAGAAGCUAGAACCCUCCAUUCACAUUUUAUAUUCAUUUAUGCCUAUUUGCUAAGUAAUUCUUUUCUUCUUCAUCUUUCUAUACCCUGACACCUUAAUCUUGCUGACAUCUUGCAAUAGUUAAUGAGAAGCAGCUCCCUGUCUUUUCACUGCUUGCUUUCUUUCUCCUAAUACCAAGGCAUAGGAUGAUAGUUUACUUUGCAAGACUUGAAACUGUUGUGUUGUACUUCUCUUUUGAAGAAUACAUAUAUAUUAACAGAGCUCAAGCCAAGAGCUAUAAUGACAGCCUUAUAAAACAUGAUUACUAGCUGAGACACAAGUACAGACACUGUCUUGAAUAUAUCACCCAGGUAUUAUUUUCAGCUCCAGACCUGAAAGCAAUUUCCAUAUUUUAUAGACAAAAACAUGACACCUCGCUCUAGUGGAAGCACAACGGAUCUAAUAUAUUUGAAAACACAGUACUUCUAAAUAACACUGUUUCAGGGGUAUCUAUAAACUCUCUGUUAUGAGGGUAAUUCAUUAAUUUCAGCUUCUUUAAUGUCUGUCAUGCAGUUAAGACAUACAAAUCCUUCUAACAAGCAAGAUCUCUUGCUUUUGGGAGACAAGGUGUUCUGAGAAAACAGACAACUCUGUUAACACUCAAGACCAAAACUCAAGCCCAAAUGUAAUUAACACACACACACACAAACAAACAAACAAACCCAACAACAUAAACAGGGAGGGAAGUGAAUUUGUUCAUGAUGUGUUUUUCAAAAAUAUGGAAAAGGAAAUCUGGUUGGACAAAUAAACCACAUGCAAAUGUUUAUGCUGUUAUUGUG